rnacentral:rRNA from 1 species
CCUACGGGAGGCAGCAGGGAGGAAUAUUGGUCAAUGGGCGCGAGCCUGAACCAGCCAAGUAGCGUGAAGGAUGACUGCCCUACGGGUUGUAAACUUCUUUUAUAAAGGAAUAAAGUGAGGCACGUGUGCCGUUUUGUAUGGACGUUAUGAAUAAGGAUCGGCUAACUCCGUGCCAGCAGCCGCGGUAAUACGGAGGAUCCGAGCGUUAUCCGGAUUUAUUGGGGUUAAAGGGAGCGUAGAUGGGUUGUUAAGUCAGUUGGGAAGGUUUGCGGCUCAACCGGAAAAUUGCAAUUGAUACUGGCAGCCUUGAGUACAGUUGCGGUAGGCGGCAUUCGUGGUGUAGCGGUGCACUGCUUCGAUAUCAC